UGCCGUGUAGUUCAGCAACGGUAGAACACGGAGCGCUGUAUAGCCUCCGAGGUCGGUGGUGCGAGGCCACCCACGGCAG
rnacentral:tRNA from 1 species